AAAUUGAAGAGUUUGAUCAUGGCUCAGAUUGAACGCUGGCGGCAGGCCUAACACAUGCAAGUCGAACGGUAACAGGAAGCAGCUUGCUGCUUCGCUGACGAGUGGCGGACGGGUGAGUAAUGUCUGGGAAACUGCCUGAUGGAGAGGGAUAACUACUGGAAACGGUGGCUAAUACCGCAUAACGUCGCAAGACCAAAGAGGGGGACCUUCGGGCCUCUUGCCAUCAGAUGUGCCCAGAUGGGAUUAGCUUGUUGGUGAGGUAACGGCUCACCAAGGCGACGAUCCCUAGCUGGUCUGAGAGGAUGACCAGCCACACUGGAACUGAGACACGGUCCAGACUCCUACGGGAGGCAGCAGUGGGGAAUAUUGCACAAUGGGCGCAAGCCUGAUGCAGCCAUGCCGCGUGUAUGAAGAAGGCCUUCGGGUUGUAAAGUACUUUCAGCGGGGAGGAAGGUGUUGUGGUUAAUAACCGCAGCAAUUGACGUUACCCGCAGAAGAAGCACCGGCUAACUCCGUGCCAGCAGCCGCGGUAAUACGGAGGGUGCAAGCGUUAAUCGGAAUUACUGGGCGUAAAGCGCACGCAGGCGGUCUGUCAAGUCGGAUGUGAAAUCCCCGGGCUCAACCUGGGAACUGCAUUCGAAACUGGCAGGCUUGAGUCUUGUAGAGGGGGGUAGAAUUCCAGGUGUAGCGGUGAAAUGCGUAGAGAUCUGGAGGAAUACCGGUGGCGAAGGCGGCCCCCUGGACAAAGACUGACGCUCAGGUGCGAAAGCGUGGGGAGCAAACAGGAUUAGAUACCCUGGUAGUCCACGCCGUAAACGAUGUCUACUUGGAGGUUGUGCCCUUGAGGCGUGGCUUCCGGAGCUAACGCGUUAAGUAGACCGCCUGGGGAGUACGGCCGCAAGGUUAAAACUCAAAUGAAUUGACGGGGGCCCGCACAAGCGGUGGAGCAUGUGGUUUAAUUCGAUGCAACGCGAAGAACCUUACCUGGUCUUGACAUCCACAGAAGAAUCCAGAGAUGGAUUUGUGCCUUCGGGAACUGUGAGACAGGUGCUGCAUGGCUGUCGUCAGCUCGUGUUGUGAAAUGUUGGGUUAAGUCCCGCAACGAGCGCAAC
rnacentral:rRNA from 1 species